CCCUUAGAUGUUCUGGGCCGCACACGCGCUACACUGAAGGAGGCAGCGUGUACUCCUGGAUCGAAUGAUUUGGGUAACCCGCGAAUCUCCUUCGUGCUAGGGAUUGAGGUUUGCAAUUAUCCUUCAUGAACGAGGAAUUCCCAGUAAGUGCAAGUCAUAAGCUUGCGCUGACUACGUCCCUGCCCUUUGUACACACCGCCCGUCGCUACUACCGAUUGAAUGAUUUAGUGAGGACUUCGGACUGGGACCGAUGCGGCUUUCGGGCUGCGUCGGUAUUCUGGAAAGAUGUCCAAACUGUAUCAUUUAGAGGAAGUAAAAGUCGUAACA
rnacentral:rRNA from 1 species